rnacentral:rRNA from 1 species
UGGGGAAUUUUGCACAAUGGGGGAAACCCUGAUGCAGCGACGCCGCGUGAUUUAGAAGGCCUUCGGGUUGUAAAAAUCUUUUCUAUGGGAAGAAAAUGACAGUACCAUAGGAAUAAGGACCGGCUAAUUACGUGCCAGCAGCCGCGGUAAUACGUAAGGUCCGAGCGUUGUCCGGAAUCAUUGGGCGUAAAGGGUACGUAGGCAGGUAAGCAAGUUAGAAGUUAAAUCCUAUAGGUCAACUAUAGUAAGCUUUUAAAACUGCUCAUCUUGAGGUAUGGAAGGGAAAGUGGAAUUCCUAGUGUAGCGGUGAAAUGCGCAGAUAUUAGAAGGAGUACCGGUGGCGAAGGCGAGUUGCUGGCCAUAACCUGACGCUGAGGUACGAAAGCGUGGGUAGCAAACAGG